AUUGAACGCUGGCGGCAGGCCUAACACAUGCAAGUCGAGCGGAUGAAGGGAGCUUGCUCCUGGAUUCAGCGGCGGACGGGUGAGUAAUGCCUAGGAAUCUGCCUGGUAGUGGGGGAUAACGUCCGGAAACGGGCGCUAAUACCGCAUACGUCCUGAGGAGAAAGUGGGGGAUCUUCGGACCUCACGCUAUCAGAUGAGCCUAGGUCGGAUUAGCUAGUUGGUGGGGUAAAGGCCUACCAAGGCGACGAUCCGUAACUGGUCUGAGAGGAUGACCAGUCACACUGGAACUGAGACACGGUCCAGACUCCUACGGGAGGCAGCAGUGGGGAAUAUUGGACAAUGGGCGAAAGCCUGAUCCAGCCAUGCCGCGUGUGUGAAGAAGGUCUUCGGAUUGUAAAGCACUUUAAGUUGGGAGGAAGGGCAGUAAGUUAAUACCUUGCUGUUUUGACGUUACCAACAGAAUAAGCACCGGCUAACUUCGUG
rnacentral:rRNA from 1 species